CUUUACACAGGCCAUAUUUUAGAACCGUUGAUGUAGUACUUUAGUAAAUCAGUAAUGAUUUCCGGAGGAGCUUUCUAGAGAGCAAUUAAAAGGGUUAAGCGGCUUCAAACUACAACUCAACUUAGAAGAAAUGCCUAUGCAUAUUAAAUUGAAUUUUGGCACUCGUUGCAACACGUGCCGUUUUGUCAAUAAGGCGUCGAAUGUAGUCGCCCAUAAAAAAAUAUCAAUUACUUAUUGGCAUGACGCAUCAUUGGGACAAAACAAUACUGUCGACAUCUGGACCACAUUAUGGAGAAUCUACUAUUGGCAUGAUCUCGGCCUUUUCCGGGAAGAACCCCGGCUUCGUUGAACGGCUGAUUUCCUUCAUUUCCGGCUCAUGUAACCCCAUCUUGUGAGCUAUCAACAUGGGGCUAACAACAUGUUUUAAUUGAUAUUUUCUCGAGGAAGAAUAAACUUUAAUGAGCCAGCAUCAAGUAAACGUUGGCCGUUAUUGCCCAACCUCCCUCUCCUAGGAAAAGACAAGAUCGGCACCGCAUAUUUGCAGCCGAUAAAAGCAGUGGAUAUCGAAUAGAAAUAUUCUUCGAACGAUCAUUGGAGGGCAUAGUAGUCACAUGGGCGAGGUUUGAAAUCGACGGUCAAAAGUUCAUGUUACCUGAGGAAUGUUACAAAGGCUACAGAAAUGGUAUUAUCAUAUCCAAUAUAUUUCAGAUGUUUAAAAUGAAUGACACAUUGGGUUAAUUGAAGACAAAAAAACAGCAAAGCGUUUAGCUUAUUACACUAACACACUUAUAGGUAUCUGCCUAGAAAAGUAAAAGGCUAUCACUGAGGGAACUUAAGUUACAGUGAUGUUACUUGCGAAAAUACCUUUGAAUGUCAUACACUGUUUUUAAGGCUGGAAAAUAAUUCUAAUAUGUAUUUGUCCAACUCUAGUCGAAGGUGAAGAACUGUUCUUAGUCCAUUUGGGCGGCUUCGCUGCGAGCAAAAUAUAAUCAGAAUCGUUAUUUUCGUGUUAACAACUGACUUUGUAAAUAUGAUAUAUAAUAGAUUCAUUGAACAACAGUGAAACAAACAGCUGACAUUGUUAGUGGCACUUUUUAUACUGCGCAGUUAGACUAUUGGCGGUGCACAGUACGACUCAUUAUAUGAGUACUUUAAGACUUCCAUGAAGUCUAGAUGUUGGGACUUCAAGAGAAGAUAUAAGAAAUCCCGUUUAAUCCAUAUGCACAUUUGUAGGAUUAAGUUUUCAAAACGUCUAUUGAUAAUAAAAACAUUUUGCGUUAAGGCAGUUUUACAUGAUGAAAUGAAACUGUAUGUUGCUUCAAAGCGUGCAUUCUUCAUUGAAUGCGUCAUUCUAAAUUAAUGUGAUAACUCAUUAGCAAUCGAUCGUAGUGAUAGCAGGUGUAUACAGUGGAAUUAGGUUGAAAUGCGAUGCUCGCACGCGUUCCUCGAGGGUAGCGAUUAAUAUUAUUCUAUUCUAGGAACCCACAAUUGAUUCAGCGGACAUCGAGUCAAAAGAAGAUUGUACUACAAAAUAGGAAACUAAUAGUCUGUCGUCGCCAGAUGCGCCGAAACAGGUUCAAGGCUUGCUGGAAGAAUGAUUACCACGAGCCGCCCAUUUGAAACUCCUCUUCAGUGUUCAGCUUCGAUCAGUGUCGAUUAUAUUAACGAGGCUAAGGAAGCUAUAAAAACUUAGUGGAACGUCGUAUAUAGUAUAUUCGCAUAACAUAUCUUUCACUUACUGGGCAGAUAUCUAUUCGACAACAAUAGCUCACAAAAUACCUAAUCGAAAUUUAGAUUGCUCUUCAACGCACGGCUUAGCUACUUAUGCUAAACUCGUUGACUUUAAAAUCCAGUUAUUACGACACCAUGAUGGAGAUAUGUGUUUCCCGCCUUCUCUAUCUUCCAGAUUCUCUAUAAAAUCUUAUUAAACCUCUAUAAACCCUACAGCUAAAGAGCUAGAUGAGCCCCCAAUAGUAGUGCGAGGAUGUCAGGUCGCAAAAUCUCGAACUGUCAAAUUCUCUUCGCCAGCCAUUUCCCGAAAAAUUCUAGUCAUCAAAAUCGAAAUUAUUGAAUCUAGCUUCAAGUAAGCACAUUUUUAAACACAACAAUAGUAAUCGCUAACUUCAUUUCUCGUGUAGAUACUGUAGUGAACUUCAGACAUAUAUCCGUGCUGUAACAUGUUACACAAAGAUACAACUUGAUGGCAGUGAGAAACUAGAGCGGUUGCUUUUGUGUUCUCGACUUAGACGCAGAGGGCGUAGCGAUUUUCUUGAGGGAACCUAUUCUUGUUCAAAGUGCGUUCUUCAUCAUAGCGGAUAUGCUGAUGUAAGGAAGAACUAAACUGAUAAAGGUGUUAGUCAACUUGAUAUAUAUUAUGUAAGAGCGCCACACACUAUUAGUCAAACCCGUUUUCCGCAUUAAGAACCUCACAAGACUUGCAAAUAAUAAUAAAUGAAAAUCUUUAAUCAUUUUAAGUGACUCGAUCUGUUGAAGUUUAUGCCAGCUAUUGAUUGUACAUAUCUCGUGAUUACUCGGUAAGUAGGCUGAUCUUGUUUUAAAGAUUGUUUUUUUUAUACGUCCAGUAGGAGCAUUAUUCCAGCGAUAUGCCAGCUACUCAUGGUUGUCAUUUUUCGGGACCAUUUAGCCCAAUAACGACACAGUCGUGCUGACCACUCUUUAGACGAGCCGAUUUUAUGUGGAGGUUUACACCGGAGCAUCAGAUUCUUUCUUCACUCUAGCGUGAAAUGUAGAUGAUGAACAAUUUACUUUUAAACCCAUAUUGUGCUAAAGACCGUUGAGUUAAAUUCCUGGAUUUCACGUAAAGUGAGUUAUAUCGCCAUGUAAUUAUUGCACGAUAUUAUGUAACCAUCAAUUGGUUGCAAAACAUGAAUCUUUAGGUCGAAUUGUAGGCUAUAUUAAGUGUCCUUGGCACACUAUUACAACCUCUUACAAACGUACUCUAUAUGUCCGCUAAGCUUCAACUUGUAUUGAAAAAUUUAUAGAGACUUAUUUUUCUAAUUUCUUUUAUCACUGCUAGCAGAAGAAGUCUAAGAUUAAUUUGUGUAUCCCUUUAUAUUUCCAGAAUGGAACUGUAUUUCAUGUAAUUGAGUCAAUGGACUACAAGUGCUUUGGAUUUUACUUUAGGCCGACAUCACUUGAUACAUCGAUUAAGAGGGGCAGGGUUUACCACAACAAAGGUUAAAUACCUCUUUAAAUUGUAUUUAACGCGGGUAAUUAAUAUAGUAACGAUUUGCUACGCAUCGAAGCUGCAGGUGAUUAGAAAAAAUCUCGUUAAAACGACAAAGAAAGAGAAUGCUUGUGUAUUGUAAUUAGAAGAGUAUGUCAUACCAGCAAAUGUUUAAAACGAGCUCCAUGAGCACCAAAAGGCCAAGUGUAUUGAUUUUUUUGACUUCAAAGAUUCGUUAUCAGUUCCAAUAAAAUCAUUCGCUGUCUUCAUUGUUUGAGGCGUUGCGAAGCA